AUUGAGUUCAAGGUAACCUGAUUACCGUUUGCAACAAAAGCAUUCAAUAUCUCUUCUCCAAACUCUGCGUUUGUAUCUCUGAGUACAAGCAAAGGAAGUGAAAGAUAUAACAUUGUAAUCGACAUGUGAUUUUCUUUUAUUUUUCUUCAUUUUCUUGGCAACGAAACAGAGGGUUGGAUUUUAUUGCUGGAAGUUUUGAAUUCUAGGGUUUCUCUUGAAUA